rnacentral:lncRNA from 1 species
GUAUGGUCAGGCGGGAUCAUCUGCCAGCUGGAGGUCUCAGGACUGUGGAAAACCAUGUAUUCUAGCAGUAUAUUCUCUGGCCCAGCCGACCAUUACUAUCUUCAUAACGCUUAUGAAACUGUGCCUUCUCUAAGGCCAUUCACAGCUCUCGACUGGGCUAUCCUUCUUUGCCCUCUGUGCAUAAUUUCAUGCUUAUUUGAUCUCCCCAACCUCUGCACUGACCUGGCUUCUUGUGUUAUAUCCUAAACAACUUGUUCUUGGUUUCAUCCACUCAGUUCUCUGGAUCAGCCAGCUUCACACAGAAGUGACAGCACUUCUGAAAUCCCCUCUUAGUCACUUUUGUAACUUCAACCUCUGCUAAAGGUAGACACUCACUCUAUAGACCAGGCCUUGAGCUCAAAGAUCCACCUGCCUCUGCCCCCUGGCCCCCUCCACCUCCCCACGAGUGCUGGGACUAAAGGUGUGAACCACCACCACCACCACCACCACCACCCAGCUCCCUUGUUUUCUUAACAUUGAUCUAUUUAUAACUAGAGUGAGCAAAGCAGUGGUGGUGCACAACUUUAAUCCCACCACUCAGGAGGCAGAGGCAGGUGGAGCUCUGUGAUUUCGAGGCCAGCCUGGUCUACAAUAUGAGUUCCAGGACAGCCAGGGAUACACAGAGAAACCCUGCCUCAAAAAGAAAAUCAAAUAAACCCCCACAGAGUUACACCUUAUCCACUGCCCAAUGUCCUGCCAUUGGUUCCCAGACCAGAGCCUAGAGCCUGAAAUGGUCAUAUGCUCAGGCCCCAUUGCAAAGGACAGUGGGAAGGCACCUGCUUGUCUAACCUCUGGGGUGGCAAAGCUCGGGAGGGACUCCUCCUUAGGCAGCAGAGAUGCUCACUGGUGUGGGCUGUGCACACUCUGGUUUUCUUUCCUCUAAACUUGUGGGCCCCCAGGUUCAAGCUUUUAAUUUUCAGGUUUGCAUAUCUAUAAGUGCCUCCGUGUAUCUAUGUGGACCACAUGUAUGCCUGGUGCCUGUGGAAAUGAGAAGAAAGCAUUGAAUCCCCUCAAAAAGUGUUCUUAACCCCUUAGCCAUCUCUCCAGCCCCAGGUUCAAAUCCUGAGCACCGUCUGAACUAGUCCUGUGUCCAAGACAGUAUCAUCAAACCCUGCCCUUCCCGCCUUGUGCCAGCUCGCGCUUUUUCUUACAUCUGUAUGUUGAUGCUUAGCAGGUUCCUUGAAUGCUUGGUUUAUGUGCCUGGCUGGAGGAGACACCCAUGGCCUUGCAGAGGGAGCGUUCUGGUGGGAAAGCAGACACAACCCACCCUAGGCCCGUGGUUUCCCUGCAAGAAGCCCAGUGGCUUUCUGGAGGACACUUUUCCUGGAGGAAGUGACUCAAGAGCAGCAUAAGCCAGGCUCUAUGGAAUGUUGGGUGAGCUGCUUGAGGAACUCCAAGGCCUGUCCCACAGUCUUCCAGCCUCCGACUCUCCGGCCCUCAGCGAGGAAGUCCCACUGGUUUUUUUGGUUGGUUUUUUUUUUUUUUUUUAAGGUUUUUUGGUUUUUUUUUUUUUUUCUCAUUCCUGUCUUGGGAGCUUUCCCCAACCAGGAGAGUGAAGAUGGGCGGAGCUGUCACACCAACUGUUAGCCUGCCUUGGCUGAGAGGAGAGGAGGCGAGGAGGGAGCGACCACCCAGCUUUAGUCGUUUUAAAACAGCUCCUGACCCUAGAAGAAGGGAAAUGGAGAUGAAGACCCAAUUGACUUGAGAGAGUGAUCUUUCAGCAGACUGAUCGAACACACAGGCUUCUCAGCCCACUCCCUCCAGUCAAGGUUAAGGCCUGGCAAAGGUGGAGGAAGAGAAGCUGAGGAGAAAAAGGCGAGGAGAGCCUAGGCACAGGAAGGUGACCGCUUCCCUCCCUCCCAGUGCUGAUUUCCUGUGGACCAGAUUCCAGCACAGUGGAGGGCCAGAGCUCAGGGAACAGACCCAGCAGCACAGCAAGUCUCCAAGGAAAGCUCUAGCAGUCUCCAGGGGCUGAAGGCAGGACUGGGGAAGCGGCUAGCCAGGCUGCAGAAGGCAAAUGCUCCCAGACGGCUGUCCAGCACGCAUCCGCCUUCCUAGCCAAGUUUCCUGGGCUCCUGCCACAGAUCUAAGCCUCAUCCUGACAUCCUGCCCUCUGUGCUCUGGGAUGGCCCAGGGGAGAUGCUUAGCCUUGGCUCCUUGUCUGCUGGUGGAGGGGACACACACCCUUUCUGGACCACAGACCAAAAAGAAGACCUGACGUCAUCCUGAGCACCCCCGCCAUGCAGAGUGUGUUCGCAGACUGCCAACGGGCUGGCUCCGGCCAGCAGAAGUGAACAGAGGUGGAGGUUCAGCCUGACAGCUUCUCCCCAAAGCCAUGGAGAGAAAACCUUACCACCCCCACCGCCCAGCUACUUCCAGCAAGUUGUCCAGCCUGACCCCUCUAUUUCCCCUGUUGUCUCUUAUCUGGGUCCCUGAGACCCACCCCAUCUCCAAUAAAGAACAUUGCAUACUGUGCAUCCACUACUGAACAACAUAGUCACACCAGGCAGGGCUCCCUAAAGCCUACCUGCAUGGCCAGCGUGGUCCGAGGACAGUGUGCUCUCCCCACCCUGUCUGCUAGCCUCCAGCUUCAUGGGAACUCCAUUAAUCAUGGGAUUCCGAGAUCAUCAGAGCAAUAGGAUCACUCCGUCUCCAGGGGAGCACAAGGCAAGAGCCAGAGCGGGACUGUUCUUCAGUCAAGGGGCAGGGGUUGCUGCCUCU